CCUACGGGAGGCAGCAGUGGGGAAUAUUGGGCAAUGGGCGCAAGCCUGACCCAGCAACGCCGCGUGAAGGAAGAAGGCUUUCGGGUUGUAAACUUCUUUUAUCAGGGACGAAGCAAGUGACGGUACCUGAUGAAUAAGCCACGGCUAACUACGUGCCAGCAGCCGCGGUAAUACGUAGGUGGCAAGCGUUAUCCGGAUUUACUGGGUGUAAAGGGCGUGUAGGCGGGAGUGCAAGUCAGAUGUGAAAACUAUGGGCUCAACCCAUAGCCUGCAUUUGAAACUGUACUUCUUGAGUGCUGGAGAGGCAAUCGGAAUGCCGUGUGUAGCGGUGAAAUGCGUAGAUAUACGGAGGAGCACCAGUGGCGAAGGCGGCUGUCUGGUCUGCAACUGACGCUGAGGCUCGAAAGCAUGGGUAGCGAACAGGAUUAGAUACCCGUGUAGUC
rnacentral:rRNA from 1 species